rfam:Hordeum vulgare subsp. vulgare, WGS project CAJW01000000 data, contig: morex_contig_132643
AUAGUACUCUCUUCGUCCGAAAAUACUUAUCAUAGGAAUGGAUGUUUCUAGAUGUAUUUUAGUUCUAGAUACAUCCAUUUUUAUACAUUUAUGCAACAAGUAAUUCCAGAUGGAGGGACUAAUAU